CGCACAAGUAACCCGGAUGACUCCCAGACGUGACUUGCGAAACUGCAGUGGGGCGCGGACUACAUUUCCCACAAGCCUCCACGCGCGAGGCGGGGCCUUCCAGAAGGGUUUGUUGGCUCUGGAACCCGGUCCUCCCCCACGUUGCUGGAACAGAAUCAGCGAUGGUCACUUGGGAUUCUGGUUCUUUGUGCAAUUCUCAUUUGACUGCUAGAAAGGAAAGGGACUGAAUGAGAACAUGCAGAUGGGGGAGGGAAAGAUCAUGAUAUCCCACAUCAGCUCUAAUGGUUUUUGUUGCGUAAAUGGCACAUUUUUGCCAGUUGCAUCCUAAAGCAGGAAUGGUGAAAGAGCACAACGUCAUUAUGCUAUUAAACUCCUUAACAACCAACAUGUUUCAGAACAAUGAUUUACAGUCCUGCUCACGCUAGGAUUUCAAGCAUACAAGUUUCCAAGGCCACAGUCGUCACCAACAUAUCUGCAUUCCUCCAUCAAGGUCUUAAGUGUCUGCCACCCCUCAAUUUGGUAUCUCAAAAAGACACAGAUGAAGAACCCGAGAUUUGUUAUUUGGCAAAAUUCACUAAAAUUCACAAAAGAAACAUGACCCUCUACCAGCUGAGCAGGUAACAGACAGUGCCAACAACUCUGGAUCCUUCCUGGUGCUCAGGGGACCCCGUGGGAUACCGGGAAUCAAAGCCAGGUUGGCAAACACAAGGCAAGCACCCUCCACACUGUACUAUUGCUCUGGUCCCAUGAGUAUAACUUUUCUAUGGGAGUUUUCUUACUGGAAGACUGUCACCUUAAAGGAACCGUUUGCUUUGCUUGCUAAGAGAGCCUGAGUCAGCCCAAAGCCAGCAGAAAGCACCAAAAGCAACCAGUUGGAGUGCGAGGCGGCUACACAGUGCAAGGGUCUUGCUCACCUGCUGAGAAGAUUCCGGAAAAACCCACCAAUACCACCACACAGGGGCAGAGUCUUCCCAAGGGGGUCCCCGCAGCAUCUCUCCGUGACAUGGUACUCGCACUACAGAUGCAUUACCUAAAUGCCCUACCUCCCCUCGGGUGCUCCUUGGUCCAGCUGGAAGAGGAAUCAGACCCAGACCACCCAGCCUCCAGCUCUCUGCAGAACUCUCCUGCUUGCUGCCCCCGGGGCCGGCCCACCCAGGGCUCCUGGAAGUACCUCCUGUCCCCUAAACCAUACCUUCCUGUGAAGGAGCAAUCAGUGAUGCCUGCCCCUUCCCAGCCUAUGACUGACACGUCACCAACCACCUCCAGGUCAGGCCCAGUCUGUGCAGCACCUGAGCUCAGCUACCGCACACCUUCCCACACCUAUGCGCCCAGCCGGAAUUUGCUUAGCCUACUCCUCCUUUUCAAGGGAGGGGAAUCACUCAUACCCCCUUGGUCUCCGUUCUUUUUCGUUUUGGUUUUGGGGUUCCCGCGUGUCCCCAAAGCAACAAGCCUCCUCCUUCAACCUCACCCCCAUCGUGCAGGUCCCCUCAACCAAACUUUCUCCCCCACUGCCCACCUUGUGUCCUGGAUGUCCAGGCUCCUUUCUAAGCCUCCCAGCUGCUCUCAGCUCUGAAGCAGGAAGAGAGAUUGGGCUGGGGCAAUGACCUUAGGGACAUAAUAAAGCCCAUAUGGGAUGGAAACCAAUCCAUCCCCAGUUCAGACACAGGACAGCUGCACCCACAUUGCAGAUGCAAGAACUGAGUCCUCGUGGAGAUUGGGAAUGAUGCUGGUACCAGCUUCGAUAAGGAGAGUGGGAGCCUCGGCAGGAACAGAUGGCCAGAGUAAGAACAGGAAAGGAGACGCCACAGCAUCGAAGUUCUUUUCCCUUUACUGCACGCUAGCAACAGACACGCCAUGGACCAGCACGAGUGAGGCAGCUGGGGGAGGGGGCAGGGGAUCCCCCUGUAUUACACUGGCUUUGCAAAGGCAAGGGGCUCUUUCUCCCCUCUGAGAAUGUCUGCACCCUUCUUUUCUCUCUCCCUCCUGUUUUCUAAAUAAAAGAACAUAUUUUCUAAAUAAAAUGCUUUUCCGCCAAGGCUAGACCACAGGCCUAGGGCACCCGGGCAGAUGUCAGGACUGUUCCCUUUUUCUGCAAAUCCUACACCCCUGCCUGAGCGCCUUGGAGACUCGGGGCCUUCGCUGGGAGACAGAGCAGGGACGCGUCCACGCAGGAGGUCCUGGCUAGCUCUGACCUACCCCGACCCAUCCGGUCGCUUUCCUGGUCAACAGGGCUCCAGUGACUCCUCCAACCUCACAAUGAACUUCAGCUAACAGUCCGCAAAGACUCCGGAGCAAGAAUUUACAGCGGAAGAGCGACGCGAGCGCUUCCGUCCUUGCGUACAGCAUCCUGGGCAACACAUCCA